AGGGGAAGGGAAGAAACUCUGUUAUGUAUAACUCAUUUCAUGUUUGAGUUUUGUUUGAAUACUUUUAUGUCAGAAUAUAGAAAGAAGAUUAUUUUUUUCACUACUCUUCGAUGAUCAAUUGAGUACAAAAACUCAUCAUUUGAGAAUGACCUACAAAGAAACAUCCCCAAGAUGUUUUCUGCUGUUCUACAUUCUAUACAGAAAAGCCAAGCAUGAUUGGAUAGGGAAGGCACUCUUUGCCCAAGGGGACCCAAUCCAUUGCUUUUUGACGUCAAUAAGACUGUGGCUCUUUCAAGGACGUGCAUUUAUCUUGUCAAUGUGGUCUAACCAACCAGCCUUGCUUCUCUGCUCUGAUCUCUCACAGGAUGUUCUUGAUGAUCUGGGAAAAAAGAAAAGGCCCACUGAAGUUCCUGGCUUCUAUGAUGUCAUGUGGCAUUCAACUCUUUAA
rnacentral:lncRNA from 1 species